GGACAGCCAAAGAAGCUAGAAGGAAAGAAGGGAAGGUUUUCCUCCCCCUCAGCGUUAAAGAGAACUUCUAUAGAAUACACACUGAAUGCAGUUUCCAAAUUUCAACAAUUACAUCUUCAUGCCCUUAAUCCAGAUGAGGUGGAUGAAUGGAAUGGAAUAACCAGUGUCUAGCAGCAAAAGCAAAUAAGCAAUACUGUUCCUUAGGAGAGUCGUAUAAAAAGAAUAAGAAUGGCUCAGAGCGCAGUCACUCCGGCUGGAGAUACCGUUCGGAUGA